rnacentral:rRNA from 1 species
AGAGUUUGAUCAUGGCUCAGAACGAACGCUGGCGGCAGGCUUAACACAUGCAAGUCGAGCGCCCAGCAAUGGGAGCGGCGCACGGGUGAGUAACACGUGGGAACAUGCCCUAUGGUUCGGAAUAACGCAGGGAAACUUGCGCUAAUACCGGAUAAGCCCUUACGGGGAAAGAUUUAUCGCCAUUGGAGUGGCCCGCGUUGGAUUAGCUAGUUGGUGGGGUAAAAGCCUACCAAGGCAACGAUCCAUAGCUGGUUUGAGAGAACGACCAGCCACACUGGGACUGAGACACGGCCCAGACUCCUACGGGAGGCAGCAGUGGGGAAUCUUGGACAAUGGGGGAAACCCUGAUCCAGCCAUGCCGCGUGAGUGAUGAAGGCCCUAGGGUUGUAAAACUCUUUCGGCGGGGACGAUAAUGACGGUACCCGCAGAAGAAGCUCCGGCUAACUUCGUGCCAGCAGCCGCGGUAAUACGAAGGGGGCUAGCGUUGUUCGGAAUUACUGGGCGUAAAGCGCGCGCAGGCGGUCCUUUAAGUCGGGGGUGAAAGCCCAGAGCUCAACUCUGGAACUGCCUUCGAAACUAGAGGACUUGGGUACGGGAGAGGUGAGUGGAAUUCCGAGUGUAGAGGUGAAAUUCGUAGAUAUUCGGAAGAACACCAGUGGCGAAGGCGGCUCACUGGCCCGUUACCGACGCUCAGGCGCGACAGCGUGGGGAGCAAACGGGAUUAGAUACCCUAGUAGUCC